rnacentral:rRNA from 1 species
GACGAACGCUGGCGGCGUGCUUAACACAUGCAAGUCGAACGGAAAGGCCCUGCUUUUGUGGGGUGCUCGAGUGGCGAACGGGUGAGUAACACGUGAGUAACCUGCCCUUGACUUUGGGAUAACUUCAGGAAACUGGGGCUAAUACCGGAUAGGAGCUCCUGCUGCAUGGUGGGGGUUGGAAAGUUUCGGCGGUUGGGGAUGGACUCGCGGCUUAUCAGCUUGUUGGUGGGGUAGUGGCUUACCAAGGCUUUGACGGGUAGCCGGCCUGAGAGGGUGACCGGCCACAUUGAGACUGAGAUACGGCCCAGACUCCUACGGGAGGCAGCAGUGGGGAAUAUUGCACAAUGGGCGGAAGCCUGAUGCAGCAACGCCGCGUGCGGGAUGACGGCCUUCGGGUUGUAAACCGCUUUCGCCUGUGACGAAGCGUGAGUGACGGUAAUGGGUAAAGAAGCACCGGCUAACUACGUGCCAGCAGCCGCGGUGAUACGUAGGGUGCGAGCGUUGUCCGGAUUUAUUGGGCGUAAAGGGCUCGUAGGUGGUUGAUCGCGUCGGAAGUGUAAUCUCGGGGCUUAACCCUGAGCGUGCUUUCGAUACGGGUUGACUUGAGGAAGGUAGGGGAGAAUGGAAUUCCUGGUGGAGCGGUGGAAUGCGCAGAUAUCAGGAGGAACACCAGUGGCGAAGGCGGUUCUCUGGGCCUUUCCUGACGCUGAGGAGCGAAAGCGUGGGGAGCGAACAGGCUUAGAUACCCUGGUAGUCCACGCUGUAAACGGUGGGUACUAGGUGUGGGGUCCAUUCCACGGGUUCCGUGCCGUAGCUAACGCUUUAAGUACCCCGCCUGGGGAGUACGGCCGCAAGGCUAAAACUCAAAGGAAUUGACGGGGCCCCGCACAAGCGGCGGAGCAUGCGGAUUAAUUCGAUGCAACGCGUAGAACCUUACCUGGGUUUGACAUGGAUCGGGAGUGCUCAGAGAUGGGUGUGCCUCUUUUGGGGUCGGUUCACAGGUGGUGCAUGGCUGUCGUCAGCUCGUGUCGUGAGAUGUUGGGUUAAGUCCCGCAACGAGCGCAACCCUUGUUCACUGUUGCCAGCACGUUAUGGUGGGGACUCAGUGGAGACCGCCGGGGUCAACUCGGAGGAAGGUGGGGAUGACGUCAAGUCAUCAUGCCCCUUAUGUCCAGGGCUUCACGCAUGCUACAAUGGCUGGUACAGAGAGUGGCGAGCCUGUGAGGGUGAGCGAAUCUCGGAAAGCCGGUCUCAGUUCGGAUUGGGGUCUGCAACUCGACCUCAUGAAGUCGGAGUCGCUAGUAAUCGCAGAUCAGCAACGCUGCGGUGAAUACGUUCCCGGG